UACGGAGGGAGCUAGCGUUGUUCGGAAUUAUUGGGCGUAAAGCGCACGUAGGCGGUCCGUUAAGUCGGAUGUGAAAGCCCCCGGCUCAACCGGGGAAGUGCAUCCGAAACUGGCGGGCUAGAGUACGAAAGAGGGUCGCGGAAUUCCCGGUGUAGAGGUGAAAUUCGUAGAUAUCGGGAGGAACACCGGUGGCGAAGGCGGCGACCUGGGUCGAUACUGACGCUGAGGUGCGAAAGCGUGGGGAGCAAACAGG
rnacentral:rRNA from 1 species